UAUUAUAUGCUAGCAACAAAUGCUAUAUUGCGUCCAAACAACUAAUUUUCCAACAUCAAACACAGCUUCAAGUUGUUCAUACUGGAGUUACAUUAUGACAUUAGCCUUGGUAGAUACUUCACUUCGGAUAACAAAUCAAUGGCCGGCCACCACUGGUAGCAAAAUUUAAUUUUUAAUUACUAUCACAGUAGAAAUAAGAAGCAUAAUUACGAAAAAGUUGAAGGUUAUGGGCGAUAGACCAUUCGUUUAAAAUCACUGUCAUUGGUUCUUGAUUGCUGCUCUAUGAAAAAGAAAACAGGAGAAGAUAGAGUUUAGUAGCUGUGAAGUUUAUAUAGACCGUUUUUGGUUCACAAAUUUUUUAAGCUGCUACUGAUCGUGUUAUUACUUUUUUUCUGGGAAUUUAGUUUUAGUCGAAUCUACUUCAUUUCUGAAUAAUUCUGAUGUGAUAUGGUCAAAUUGUUUGGUGAAUGAUCUUGGCAUAUAUGUUUUUGUAUUGAUAUGUUUUGAAUCUUACAUUUGAACAGAUUUUUAUCUAA